rnacentral:lncRNA from 1 species
UUUUUCUUUGGUAUCCCACACUUCCUUUUUUUUAACUUGAGGUGAAUCAUCCACUUAUAAUUCAUCCACAUGUUGAUCAUUUUGGCCAACAACUAACCUUUCUAGUCCUACCAACACCUCAUCAAUUCCAUCAUUUAAUACCUUGUCAUUGGAGUCAUUAAACCUACACCCUAAUGCACUAUCAUCACUUUGUUCACUAUGGUCACU